GGGCGGUUAGCUCAGCGGUAGAGCACUACCUUCACACGGUAGGGGUCACAGGUUCGAUCCCUGUACCGCCCACCA
rnacentral:tRNA from 1 species